CCUUUCCCCGGGAAAGGCUCCCACGAGUGGAGACAUCGGGGAGGAAACCCUCGCUUCUUCUGUCUCGCACUCAUGAACGACUGGCGGCGGCGACUGGAAGACCUCCUCCGUCCACCGCUCCUGCCUCCUCCGUCCACCGCUCCUGCCUCCUCCGUCCGGCGACUGCGACACCCCUGCCCUCCUCCCUUCGACGCUCUGCCCCUCCAGAUGGGGCGACGGGACCGGGGUCGCCAUCCUACUACUUCCCAGAUCUCGUCUCCACCCCCAAGAUCUUCACCUUCCGAUGAUGACGACGGCCAGGAGAUCAUGCUCCUCUUCGUCCAAGAUCCAAGAGCCUCCUCUCCUGUUUGAGUUUUGUAUCACAAGAACCAAUACCGAAGAACAUCCAUCGUUUGCAGUAGUGUUUCUACCUGACUAUCCUGACCUCACAAGUGAGCACAAUCACAUCUACCUCCUUGUAAUGCUAAUCUACACACAAUGUUCUAGUAUAUUUCUGAAGGGGACUACUCAGCCUGUACUAGCUUUGUCCUAAUUUUAACUUAGAAUCUUUAGGAUAACCUGAAGUAUGCUUGUCUUGCCUAUAAUAACGGUGUAGCAUAAACGUACCAGUUAUUGGAAUUUAAUCGCGUUAAUGAAAGUAGCAUUAGUAUCAUGGUAACUGUUUAGUUUAAAAUUACUCUCAUUCAAGUUCUUCCCUUUUGUACCAAGAUAUGGAACCAAGGUUUGAGCAUAUGUAAUCUUGAUAAUUGGCCUUCGGUUUAAACUCUAUGGACCCAAGGGGACAUUCACUCCAUUAUCUCUGUCCAUUUUACACUUUUUGCGUACGCCAUUGAGUUGAUCUAUUGUUGUCUUAACUUCAAGCUUUAUUUGUAAAAAGUAUGUUAGUGGCAAAGUAAUUAAAAGAUGAAACCAUGUGCUAUUAAGAUUUUGAGUUUUCCUGCGGAUUAUUCAAAGAGAGAACAACAUCUUAUUAUGUUUGGAUCUGUUUGUUUGUGAAAGAUGCAUAUAAAUAAGAAUAUGUGCUUAUAUAUAUUUUGACUUCUGAAUUGAUAUUAUCUUUUUGUAAAGAAUUUUGACUUAUGAUGUGAUUGCAGCAAAGCCAAUUGAUAGUAUUAUCGAUGCAGUGCUAUUAAGUCAUCAAUUACUAAUGUACUGUUAGAAAACGGCCUUUACUGAUUGAAGGAGAAAAUUGCUACCAAGGAGAAAACAUAAGGUAUGUAAUUUUGAAGUACUCCCUUCGUUCCGAAUUACUUGUCGCAGAUAUGGAUGUAUCUAGAUGUAUUUUAGUUCUAGAUACAUCCAUUUUUAUGACAAGUAAUUUGGAACGGAGGGAGUACCAAUUUAGAGGUGCAGUUUUGUGUUUUCUUCCAUUGGCAUUUUUCAAUUUGUUCAUGAAUUUGCACAUGCUAACUCAUAAGCAGGGGAAUAUCUUGUGGAGAAAACAGAGGGUGUAUACAAAUGAGUUCAUGCUCUUGUCAGUUUUUCGUUGGGAAUUAUCUUGUGUUUUUGUGUUAAUGCAUCUCUACAGCUUUAGCUCCUUAUGUCCAUCAUGUCGGCGCUGGCGACAUUGAACAUGUCGACGAUGGGGGCAGUGCCAUCCUUGAUGAUUCAGUUCAGGAUCCCCCACUUGGCGGCGUCCUUGGCGCUGUAGCUCUCUUUCGGGUUCAGCCCGCAGCCGAUGGAGACGGCCAUGAACUUGCCGUUUCCUAAAGCUAGCCAAUGAAAAUGUUCAAAGAAGUUGAUCUUGAAAGUUUCAGUAGUGACUAUCCCAGCAGCAACACAUUUUGGCAUGGAUGAUUUACACAGAUACAUGUUGAUAAUGGAACUAAAUGAUUAUUCUUGCUGGAUUUCUACCUUAGUUAGCAUUUCCUCUGUUAAACCAUGAUUAGCACGCUAAAUUUAUUCGCAGUGCCAUUAUUUGUGCGACUGAACAUGUAUAACUUAUGUCAGCAUGUUUGAUGUGGAUUGAAGUGUGUUUUUUUUACAGAUAUACUUGUUUCAUGUUUUUCUGUUUUUUCCUUGUCAUUCCUGAAGUUUGCAAUGAAAUUAGAGAAAAAAGAUAGUUACUUUUGAACUAAUAUAAUAUUUUCAUAAAAAAUUGUGUUAUUUUUCAUGGCUUUUGAAUAUAAUGUUUUCUAAGAAAUUUGAUACUUUUCUGACAAUUUUCUGAACGGGAUUCCCUCCCCUCCACCUCAUCUCCAAACUCACGUGGGGUUGUCCCCGUGGUGGGAGAGGGGGGAAUCUCUACUCCUAAUGUCUCAGUUGGUAGGUCGCGUUUCGGGUUUUAUUUUCGUCCCACCUCACCCGGUCUUUUUUGGUACUUCUUUGAUACUUCCUCCCACCUUUCACCCAUCAUGGUUUUUUUUUUACCUGCUCCCACCUUCCCGUUCAAAAAAAACCCAACCAAAACCACGUUCAUGUAGUUCUCUCGCAAGCGACAGAAUCGAACGAAAAUAAACCUCCGAAGAAAAACCAGCGAAAAAAAACCCUCCACGACCCGCACGCAGGCAGGAACGAGGAGGCCUCCAGGUCCAGGGGGAAAUCGGUCUCCAGAAUCGCCACCACUGAUGCCGCUCGGUUCCCCUCCGCAAUGGUCUCCACCAGCGCCGCGUGCCCCCAAGAAAAUGGCGGCCUUGGAUGAAAACGUGCGGCUCGAUCGACCUUGAGAAGAUCCCCAUCAACGCGGACUCCCCUAUUUCAGUGUGGUAAUCUACAGCAAUCAAGUUAACAAAUCUGAAGCAUUUUAGCAAGGCAACGGUGCAAGUGCUCUUUUGGUGGAAGAUGAAGCUUUUGUUGGGCUUGUGAUGUUUUUCUGAAGAAGACUGGCGAUGAACUCAAAAGACAGAUAACAUGCGGUUGCUACUACGGGAAUACCUGAUGUUGCUUCAUAUUAGUUAUAUCUUCCAAUAUUUACAGAAACUUCCGAAAAUGGCACCAGGUCAGGACAUGCUGAUGAUAACCUUCCAGUUUUGCUAAAUCAUAGUUACUUGAGUAAUCUCUACUCCUAAAGUGUUCUUCGAAGGUGCUCAUCAAAUCUGUUGAUACACAACACCGCAGUUAUUGGUGGUUUACACUGGAUAGUUUCCAGACCUUUAUCGCAAGAUGGACGAACUUGGCAUCUCAGCCAGUACUCUGCCUCAUCAACAGUUUGAUGUCCCUUUGCAUGAAGUUAGGCCAGCAUCAGAAUAUCCGUAGCCUUUUUUAGGAGAUGAAGGUGAAGAAUAUUAAGCCGGAUAACCUCACAUGUUUCCUUCUAAUGAGCAGCCGUGCGUCAUUGAACAAGAUAGAUGUUGUUGGAGAAGUUUUAGAAGAAAUGCAAGAAAAUGAUGUAGUUCUAGGGUGGUAUGCAUAUAGCAUGGUUUCUAUCUACCUGAGUGCUGGUUUGGUUUUAAAAAACAGUCCGCUCUCAAGAAACUCGAGGGCCUUGAUUUUAGAAGGUAACAUAAAUAUCUAGAUUGAUCGUUCAUGGUCCUGGGGCUCCUUGUUACAGUUCAAGCAAGAGUUUAGUCCAUAAUACUCAAUUUCAUCCUGAAGUGCAUGCCCCCUGACCCAUGGGACAACGGCACGGAGGCAAUCGCAUAACCCAGCGGCAGGGCGUGGCGGCGUUGUGGCCAGUGAGGAGCGCCGUUAGGGCGUGCCCUGAAUCGAGAGGAACAAGUAUGUUCACUUUCUGUUCGCUUUGUGUUUGCUUUCUGUAGUCUCAAAGCAGAGCAAUGGUUCACUGCAAAUUUUAUCAGAGAAUGUGCAACAAAAGCACGUUGAGAAGUUCCUGUGAGCCCUAAUUAUUUCUUGAGAAAGCAAACUUAUUGAUCCUUGCUCUAUUUUUUGUGUACUAAGAUUGUUCGUUUGUACCCAGCAUGUGUACGUGAUGUGCCCUGCCGCUGUGUGUGCUUCUUGCUAAUGUGUGUGCUUCCUGACGCAGUUGAGCAUGCGUGUGUGUGUUCGCUGUCGCUGUUUAUUAACAUUGUCAUGCUCUCCUUACUUUUUGCUUAACAAUUCAUGAUCAAUACUGAACAUUAUUUUUUGAAUAGAUGCCACUUGAACUUAGUUUUAGCUCUCAUGUUGUUCAAUGAAUCAUCAAGUAAUGUUUUGCAUGGAUUUUAUAACUGACACAAUGUUUCUGAUUUAAUGAGAGCCAACCAUGCGUUCCUGGCUUCCCCGGCGAUGCCAACAUGGCAGGGCAGGACCCAGUGGCCAUCUUCGGCGCCUUCAUGGACUUCGUCAGCGCCGACCUCUGCUUCAUCAUCUACGGCCACGACCCCUUUGCCGUCGGCAUCAUCUGGCACCUCGGAGUGCAAAUUAAAUGUGUUCAUGGAGUGGGGUGUAAUUGUGAUUUGUGCAAUGGGUUUAGAGUGGAAGGGGCUGUCAUUCUUGUUUAGCAGGGGCUGCAAGUUCUAUCUCUAUAAGCCUGACUUGCAGCGGCAACAACAGAUUCAGAUGUGGUAAGCUCAUUCAUUCAUUCUCUCAGGAGAAGAGGACCAAAUUGAUUCAAAUUUUGUGUUCUGAUCUUAAUGUUGCGAGGUUUGCGAUCACAUGUAUGGUCGGGACUGCGUGGGUCCGGCGACCAAUUGCUUGCAUCUCUUGCUGUAUGGUGAUGAUGACCGGCUCUUGUUAAAUCCAAUACGACUGCACUUCUUCGCUUCAGGAAGAAGGUAUCCCCCCUAUACGAAGAUUUCUAGCUUGCCUAUGUGUUGAUAAGUGCAUUCGGCCAAACAAUUUGUGGACCAAAUAAACUUGUUGCAGAUACAGAAGAACAAGGCUGCACACAAGGAGUUGCCUGAAUUGCAGUGGCAGCGGUGUUGCAAUAUGAAUCAAGCUUGUGAAGAAAAAUUUCGUUACUUUAAUGACACACACUUGCAGUAAGUCAUUCAGAGAUAUAUUCAGUACAUGCUAGGUUGCCAAGCUCAGAGCCACCUGUUGUCUCCAUAAAUUCGCUGAAAGCAAAAAUCAUUUGCCCAUAGUCAUGUGAAACCUUCUAGAAUUCUUUUUAGUAUUUUGCAUUGCUUGUGCAUUUCUUUUUUUAUCACUUCUAAUAACCUCAUUGAUUCAUUUUUCCUAUCGUCAUGUCAGUCCUUGCUCUAAAUUUUUUGUUAAUAUGUUGCACUUCUUGUGCAUUUCCAUUUUUAUCACUUCUAAUAAUCUCAUUGACUGUUUACAUCUCACCAUGUUUACCAAGAACAUGAGUGAUAAUUUUGUUUUAUAAUAAUACAAUAGUGACAAUUUUAUUUUAUUUUAUUUUAUUUUCUGACAUAGUUCUCAAUUAGGCUUACAAAUAUUUUACAUUGGCAGUAGUUCUGCCAUCAAGCUUAUGUGUAAUGUAUUCCUUAGAAUGGUGUUUCAGCCAUUUCUAUGUAGGUGGCAUGUGUGAUGGCACGUAUUUCAGCCAUAUCGACUUAGGUGGCAUGUGUGCUGGCGCAAGAAAAGGAAGGCCCUGAACUGAAAGGAGCAACAUAUAUUAAUGAAAUGCCCUGAAUUGAGAGAGAGAGAGAGAGAGAGUUCAAUUUAAUUUGUCUGGUUUAAAUAUUUAUGAGUAAUUUAAUUUGUUUGACCUUGAGUGUUGACUUGCUUUUCAGUUGUCAACAAUGUCCGUUUUGCUGAAUGUACUUGCUUAUCCUUCUACUGGACUACCAUUGGUUCACUGUGUACAUACACUUUCCAAUUCUGUCUGUUUACUAUCUUUUGUUAUUAUUUGUCUUGAUAACUUGAUGCUUUCUUCCUUGGUUGUUUAAUCUUAACAGUUCCACAUCCCACAUCGAACCUUCCAGACUCAUCCAAGUGACCAUUUGCAACAUCCUUUUCCGGACAAUCUGGAUUAGUUCAAGGUUUUCAUCACUCUGGUCUGCACAACAUUCAUGGAAAUUAUAGUCUUCCAAAAUAUUCCUGGAUCACUUGCAAAAAGGAAUGCUGUGAAGAGUAGCGUUCCAUCAUCUGGGGUCCAACAACCCAGAGGGAGCAUUUCUGGGAGAUUUGCUGCAAACAGCCUUCCUGUUGUCAUUCUCUGGUUCGAAUGCCCACCUUUGUGGAGAUUCCUCAUGCACAUUUAGCUGUCAGUGGUAGAGUAAUGAAUGUUGGUGGAGGUCAAGCAUUUAGAAGUGGAAUGAAUAUGGGUGGUACCAUUCAAGGUUUAUCCUCAAACUUGGGCACCAGUGGUAAUCGAAAUUAUGUUCCUGGAAACCCAGCUUUGGGUCCACGUAUUACAAACAUUGUGCGCAGAAGUAACAUUGGAAUAAAUAUAAGCUCUGGUGGGUUGUCGGUGCCGAUUAUCUCAUCACACAUCGAUUUUAGGGUCAAUGCUGCAAGUGGAAGACUAAAUGUGCAAGGAUCCAACAGGAUGAUGAAUGGCCUUAUUCUGCAAGGUAUGCCUGAUGGAGCGAUUGGGUUGAUGCUGAUGCUGAUAUACUUCCCUAAGUUGCUCCAAUCGGGAAUGCAGAUAUACUUCCAUGUUCUCUCGCUGUGGAUUGGUAAAAAGACUAACUCUUAAUCAGGGCGCGCGAUUUUGAUGGAGGUUGUAGAACAUUUUCAUUAGGCAUCAAUUUUAUUGCUGGUGCUUGUCUGGCUGUAAAAUCUGCUCAAUAUGUAUAUUUUCCUUUCGUCGUUUUCCGAUAUAAUACUGAACCUUUUGGAAUAUCUCUGUAUAUAAAAAAAUGUGUUCUGUCUGCCGAUUGAAAUGGACCUAAAUAUGAAUACGAACCAGUAAUUUUUUGUGUUUUUAUCACCAUGUACAUCAAUAAAUUUGCCGCCGCUGCUGCAUCUCUCUCAUGCUGCUGUUGCAUCUAUCUCGGUCGUUGUCGCACGUCGCCAUCGAGGGAUCCACGUGCCUCCUGCACACUGCCCUGAAGCCCCCUUUGCCAUAAACACACGUCCAUUGAGUCCUCUGUACAUUGGAAUGCACAUGUUUGAACAUGAUAAAAGGUAGAAACAUCAGGGAAUGUACACUCUCCAGCUCUGAACUGCUCGGUAAUGCAAGUUUGAUCUCAUUUAGCUUAUCGUUGAUCCUGGUGUUAGUUAACUUGUGAAUUUAGGUGCAGAAGUAUGGCACUAUCAUUUAGGUUUUUAGUCCUAUGUGUAUGAAUUAGAUGAUUAAAUUCAUACAAAAUUAGGAGCAUAAGAAAUCUAUUAUUGAAAUUUAUGGGUGGCAUUCCUAUGAUACCUUUUUGAUUAUUUGAGCCGUAAUAGAAUCAUAUGAAUAUGUACAAUCCAGAAAAGAUGCAUACAGAAGAAAGACAGAUGAACCAUCACAAGUCACAUAAUCAUCUGUUCCUGGUUUAUGGCAAGGGGUACAGAUGAUAGGAGGAAGGAGAGAUGAGGUCACUUUCUUAAUUCGAAGCAUCACAAAAGGUGAUAAAUGCUUACAUAUAUUACAUGCUGAUUCACGACCAUCUACGAGACAGGGCGGGUGGAAAGGUACAUAUUAUUAGCACGUUCGUUUCUGGCCAGAUAAAAGAAGACAGAGAAAGAGACAUAGAACCAUCAAAAUAUCGCCGCAUCGUACAUCAUGUUAAUACUUAUGUACAACAAGAUAUGCGCUAUUCAUUCUGAUUAACAUUGAGCGGAGUCAUUGGUAUCUCGCAGUCGUCAAUGCCCAAAAACAUGAGAUUCAAGUAUUGGACUCGCUUGGUUCUCGGAUCAAUCGGAGUGACCUUACUGUUACGUUACUAGGACUUGAGAAGCGUUUGAAACUUGGAGAACAAAGUCCGGAGUUUAAUAAAGAUCAUGAGUGGUCUGAUCUCAAUGUUACAAAAUGGAAUGUCGUAGAACAGUUCCUAGAGGCAAAACAAACGGAUGGCGCAUCUUGUGGACUGUUUAUGCUAAAUUUUAUGGAAUAUUGGACAACAGAUGUAUUAACAGAUCAGUUCACCCAGGAGGAUAUCAAGCACUUUCGACGAAAAUUAGUUGUCAUUUUGCUCGAUUCAGAACUGAAUAAGCUAAAAAGAUGUCCGAUAUACCAUCAACCAGACAUUAAAGAAAAUGUAUCGAAAUCUGAUCUCGAGCUCCUGGAUAAUCCACCGGAUGGAGUCAAAGACAGACGUCCUAGCCCAAUCCUCAGCAUGCCCACGGAUCAAUUUGAAUUGCUUGUCGGCCUUUGCAACUAUAUCAUGUCCAUUGAUGAUGCCAAGUGUUUGGAAAUGGGACCGAAGCUCGACACCCCGUCCAAUGGGCUUAAGUCUCAAAAAACUUCAAAGCAUACUUAACAUGAAGCAGUCUAUGGACAAUGAUUUUUCAACAUUGCUGUGCGUAUUCUGGCAUGUGACGAGGGAGUAUUGUUCACAGACCCUUCAAUACACUACAUGGAUCUACAAUUUUGUUCCAUGCUGUGGGAUUCAACACGAGAUCAAAAGUUUUUGUGAUAAGGAAACUAUUCAGAAGUUGGCAACUUUGUUUGAUAGCUGGCAUGGGAGAGACAACAACAUAUUAUCAUGCAACAUGGUCAUCGACAAAGAGGCAUGUCAUGUAUCUAUUCUGGAUCCUAUUCGUACAACACAAAUGACGGAGAUGAAAAUUUUGAAGCACUUAGUGAAAUUAAAAAGUUUUGCGAGGGAAUUCAAAGAAACACUCGAAAUAAAGCAAC